AGCUUGCUUUUGAAGAUCAGCGGCGGACGGGUGAGUAACACGUGGGCAACCUGCCUGUAAGACUGGGAUAACUUCGGGAAACCGGAGCUAAUACCGGAUAAUCCUUUCCCUCACAUGAGGGAAAGCUGAAAGACGGUUUCGGCUGUCACUUACAGAUGGGCCCGCGGCGCAUUAGCUAGUUGGUGAGGUAAUGGCUCACCAAGGCAACGAUGCGUAGCCGACCUGAGAGGGUGAUCGGCCACACUGGGACUGAGACACGGCCCAGACUCCUACGGGAGGCAGCAGUAGGGAAUCUUCCGCAAUGGACGAAAGUCUGACGGAGCAACGCCGCGUGAGCGAUGAAGGCCUUCGGGUCGUAAAGCUCUGUUGUCAGGGAAGAACAAGUACCGGAGUAACUGCCGGUACCUUGACGGUACCUGACCAGAAAGCCACGGCUAACUACGUGCCAGCAGCCGCGGUAAUACGUAGGUGGCAAGCGUUGUCCGGAAUUAUUGGGCGUAAAGCGCGCGCAGGCGGUUCCUUAAGUCUGAUGUGAAAGCCCCCGGCUCAACCGGGGAGGGUCAUUGGAAACUGGGGAACUUGAGUGCAGAAGAGGAGAGCGGAAUUCCACGUGUAGCGGUGAAAUGCGUAGAGAUGUGGAGGAACACCAGUGGCGAAGGCGGCUCUCUGGUCUGUAACUGACGCUGAGGCGCGAAAGCGUGGGGAGCGAACAGGAUUAGAUACCCUGGUAGUCCACGCCGUAAACGAUGAGUGCUAAGUGUUAGAGGGUUUCCGCCCUUUAGUGCUGCAGCAAACGCAUUAAGCACUCCGCCUGGGGAGUACGGCCGCAAGGCUGAAACUCAAAGGAAUUGACGGGGGCCCGCACAAGCGGUGGAGCAUGUGGUUUAAUUCGAAGCAACGCGAAGAACCUUACCAGGUCUUGACAUCCUCUGACAACCCUAGAGAUAGGGCGUUCCCCUUCGGGGGACAGAGUGACAGGUGGUGCAUGGUUGUCGUCAGCUCGUGUCGUGAGAUGUUGGGUUAAGUCCCGCAACGAGCGCAACCCUUGAUCUUAGUUGCCAGCAUUAAGUUGGGCACUCUAAGGUGACUGCCGGUGACAAACCGGAGGAAGGUGGGGAUGACGUCAAAUCAUCAUGCCCCUUAUGACCUGGGCUACACACGUGCUACAAUGGAUGGAACAAAGGGCAGCGAAGCCGCGAGGUGAAGCCAAUCCCAUAAAACCAUUCUCAGUUCGGAUUGCAGGCUGCAACUCGCCUGCAUGAAGCCGGAAUCGCUAGUAAUCGCGGAUCAGCAUGCCGCGGUGAAUACGUUCCCGGGCCUUGUACACACCGCCCGUCACACCACGCGAGUUUGCACCACCAGUAAGUCCGUGGGGCAACUAAGUCGUACCAAGGUA
rnacentral:rRNA from 1 species